UUGUUUUCAGCAUUGGGCGUGUUAAUCCGGAACUAUAUGCAUUAGCUGCUGGUACUUGGAACUUGGACAUCUUUACCUCCAAAAGUGGCCUAAAUCUCUCAGGAUUGGAAAGGUGGAUGCAGAACUAUGUCAAUGCCCUCUGCAUCAAUACAUGGCAGGUGAGUUUUACUUUCUUCUUUUUGUGCAACUGGCCUAAAUUUCUCAAGUUUAGAAAGGUGGAUGCAGAACUACGUCAAUGCCCUCUGCAUCAAUGCAUGGCAGGUGAGUUUUGCUUUCUGCUCUUUGUGCAAUUGCUUGCUAUCAACCACUAAUCCUGAAGUUCAAUCGAGAUUAAGGUGGUCUAUGUUACAGAUGCCUUUGUAGGCCGUGUCUAUACUAGGCG
rnacentral:lncRNA from 1 species